rnacentral:rRNA from 1 species
GAUGAACGCUGGCGGCGUGCCUAACACAUGCAAGUCGAACGAAGCGAUUUCUAGGAAGUUUUCGGAUGGAAUAGAGAUUGACUGAGUGGCGGACGGGUGAGUAACGCGUGGGUAACCUGCCUCACACUGGGGGACAACAGUUAGAAAUGACUGCUAAUACCGCAUAAGCGCACGGUACCGCAUGGUACAGUGUGAAAAACUCCGGUGGUGUGAGAUGGACCCGCGUCUGAUUAGAUAGUUGGUGGGGUAACGGCCUACCAAGUCAACGAUCAGUAGCCGACCUGAGAGGGUGACCGG